GACAGUGUAGCUCAAGGGCAGAGCAUCAGACCUAAGAGGUGCAACUUGCGGGCCCCUGACGGUCGUAGGUUCAACCCCUGCCGCUGUCC